ACGCUGGCGGCAGGCUUAACACAUGCAAGUCGAACGGCAACAUAAAGAAGCUUGCUUCUUUGAUGACGAGUGGCGGACGGGUGAGUAAUGCUUGGGAAUCUAGCUUAUGGAGGGGGAUAACUACGGGAAACUGUAGCUAAUACCGCGUAAUAUCGAGAGAUUAAAGUGUGGGACCUUCGGGCCACAUGCCAUAGGAUGAGCCCAAGUGGGAUUAGGUAGUUGGUGAGGUAAAGGCUCACCAAGCCGACGAUCUCUAGCUGGUCUGAGAGGAUGACCAGCCACACUGGGACUGAGACGCGGCCCAGACUCCUACGGGAGGCAGCAGUGGGGAAUAUUGCGCAAUGGGGGCAACCCUGACGCAGCCAUGCCACGUGAAUGAAGAAGGCCUUCGGGUUGUAAAGUUCUUUCGGUAGCGAGGAAGGCAUUUAGUUUAAUAGACUAGGUGAUUGACGUUAACUACAGAAGAAGCACCGGCUAACUCCGUGCCAGCAGCCGCGGUAAUACGGAGGGUGCGAGCGUUAAUCGGAAUAACUGGGCGUAAAGGGCACGCAGGCGGUGACUUAAGUGAGGUGUGAAAGCCCCGGGCUUAACCUGGGAAUUGCAUUUCAUACUGGGUCGCUAGAGUACUUUAGGGAGGGGUAGAAUUCCACGUGUAGCGGUGAAAUGCGUAGAGAUGUGGAGGAAUACCGAAGGCGAAGGCAGCCCCUUGGGAAUGUACUGACGCUCAUGUGCGAAAGCGUGGGGAGCAAACAGGAUUAGAUACCCUGGUAGUCCACGCUGUAAACGAUGUCGAUUUGGGGGGUUGAGCUUUGAGCUUGGCGCCCGUAGCUAACGUGAUAAAUCGACCGCCUGGGGAGUACGGCCGCAAGGUUAAAACUCAAAUGAAUUGACGGGGGCCCGCACAAGCGGUGGAGCAUGUGGUUUAAU
rnacentral:rRNA from 1 species